rnacentral:rRNA from 1 species
GCUUACGGCCAUACCACCCUGAGAACGCCCGAUCUCGUCUGAUCUCGGAAGCUAAGCAGGGUCGGGCCUGGUUAGUACUUGGAUGGGAGACCGCCUGGGAAU